UAUGAGAGUGAUGAUUGCACCUGUCGUUGGGGUGUGUUGCAGUGGUGAUACACUCCAAUCUGACAAACUGAUGACACCCAGGGGCCAUCUGACUCAAG